GGGUGAGUAACGCGUGAGUAACCUGCCCUUCAGAGGGGGAUAGCGUUUGGAAACGAACGGUAAUACCGCAUAAUGUAUUUUGACCGCAUGAUCGAAAUACCAAAGAUUUAUCGCUGAAGGAUGGACUCGCGUCUGAUUAGGUAGUUGGUGGGGUAACGGCCUACCAAGCCGACGAUCAGUAGCCGGACUGAGAGGUUGAUCGGCCACAUUGGGACUGAGACACGGCCCAGACUCCUACGGGAGGCAGCAGUGGGGAAUAUUGCACAAUGGGCGCAAGCCUGAUGCAGCAACGCCGCGUGAAGGAAGACGGUUUUCGGAUUGUAAACUUCUGUUCUUAGUGAAGAAUAAUGACGGUAGCUAAGGAGCAAGCCACGGCUAACUACGUGCCAGCAGCCGCGGUAAUACGUAGGUGGCAAGCGUUGUCCGGAAUUACUGGGUGUAAAGGGAGCGCAGGCGGGUGAUCAAGUCAGCUGUGAAAACUACGGGCUUAACCCGUAGACUGCAGUUGAAACUGUUCAUCUUGAGUGAAGUAGAGGUUGGCGGAAUUCCGAGUGUAGCGGUGAAAUGCGUAGAUAUUCGGAGGAACACCGGUGGCGAAGGCGGCCAACUGGGCUUUAACUGACGCUGAGGCUCGAAAGUGUGGGGAGCAAACAGGAUUAGAUACCCUGGUAGUCCACACUGUAAACGAUGAUUGCUAGGUGUGGGGGGUCUGACCCCUUCCGUGCCGGAGCUAACGCAAUAAGCAAUCCACCUGGGGAGUA
rnacentral:rRNA from 1 species